ensembl:lincRNA
GUCAAGGAUUUGUCCAUCUUGAUGGGUUUUGCUGAAAUGGGUGUUCUUUAUAGUUCCAGUCACAGCCCAUGCUCCUUCUGUUUGCUGAAGCGAAAUUUCCUUUGUGCCGAAGUGAUUCUGGAAUAAUGUUUUCAUGGAGAAAAACCAAGUGAGAGAUAAACACAGCUGUCUUCCCCUGAAAAGGUUAUGCACAAUUAUUCCCAAGGACUCUGGGAAGAUUUCUCAUUUCCACGUUUCCUACUUUGAGAUGGGUGAGGAAACCAGACAGAAGCCAUGCAGCACUGGUGUUUGCCAGACAGCUCUCUUCUGUCCCUCUCCUGGCUGCAACUGCACCCCAAGGACGCUGUCUGUGACCUACGACCCUGGAGAGAGUCAUCUGUUCUCUCUCCCUUGGAGAACAAGUCAAAGUUCAGGAAGGAAAAGAGCCAAAACUCCAGAGGUUUAAAGAGCAGUUCUUCCAAACUUAGGAUUCUGGAGAAACUCAGAAGUCUUCACCUAUAAAACUUUGUACUGGGCAAAGAGCAUUCUUUCACUGAGACUAGCCAAACCUUUUCAACUGUAACUUAUACUUGGACCUUGAAGUAAUUGCAUUUAAGUUUGAAAAUGGUUAAUUUUCUAUCGGACUGUGGAGGAACCAGCGAUUGAGUUGGUCCAUCAGGACAACGAGCCAAACUGAAAGGGACAACCAAGGUUUCAUUCACUUCCUGGGACAGAGAGAUCGACAGGUAGACAAUGGCAAGUCUCUCCAUAGUCAUCUCCCCGUGAGGGUUCGGGGCUUCAGCUCAGGCUGAGGUGGGG